rfam:Bombyx mori DNA, contig: Bm_scaf16702_contig61912, strain: p50T/Dazao, build 2, whole genome shotgun sequence.
UCAAAGGCCCUUUUCAGGGCCGCAAUAUGAAUCAAUACUGAAUCG